UUUAUAAGAGGAAGCCAAACCGAAAAGAGAUCUAGUUCUGAAACCUGUGCACAAUGACAUUAACAUGCAAAUAUGCAUAUUUUCAAGUACAAGUAUGUCAUGUAACGGACUGGCAAUUGUUAACCAGAUAUAUGAAGUCUGUAUUGCAUUGACCCUUUUUUUUUCGUACAGAGCAGCUAAAGGACUUUUAUUAUGAAAUUAACUUAAUGCGCAAAUUGGACCUGUAUAAAGAGCGACACAUUUCCGCUGUUUGUGUGUGUGCGCUUUGUGAAGGACGCAGCCUGCAGUUUGACGUCUUUUUCUUCCUUUUAUUGUACUUGUGCGUCUCACUGAAAAGGGAAAUAAGUUCUUACGGUGUCUACUUGAAUGUCAACGUAUUAAACAUUUUUGGAAACAUCAGUUAAGGAGCAAAAGACCAUCAUUUCAGUGGGGUAGCAACAAGUAUGUCACCCUUCAAAAGUUUGCAUCAAGAUUUUUUUUAAUACUUUGAUUCAGCAAGGAUGCAUUAAAUUGGUCAAAAGCGACAGUAAAUACAUUUCAAAGAAAGGUUGUUUAGAACUUUCCAUUCGUGAAAGAAUCCUGAAAAAUAAAAUGUAUCAGUUCCCACAACAUGAAGCAGCACGACUAUUUUCAACAUUGAUAAUAAUCAGAAAUGUUUCUUGAGCAGCAAAUCAGCAUAUUUAAAUGAUUUCUGAAGAUCAUGUGACACUAAAGACUGGAGU
rnacentral:lncRNA from 1 species